GUGGGGAUUGGAUGAAAGUCACGCACUCACGCUCAUGCAUACACACAUUCUGGUUGGUGAUGUGUUUCUCAUAAAGGAUGUCUCAUGUUUCUUGCAGUGCCAUGUAGAUGAGACAUACGCCAUGCCAUUAACUUGUAUUUAGACAGCUGACUCAGUUUAGACGGGCUUCUCUCUCCUUCUGCAUGACAUCAUGUCGAUGGCUGAUUGUGCUCAGCACGUUUAAGUGCACUUCUUUGUUCCUGAGCUUGACAAGUGUUCUGUUGUAUCAAAGGUGUCACUGACCUUCCCAUUACAGCUGCAAUAACCACACCCCAGAAUUCUGUCUCAUUAAAAAGUGUUAGUCUAUAUCAUUGCUCCAUGGGAGACAUUUUAAUACAGUGCAUGUUUUCCAAGUGGACAUUGCACAAAUACGCAUUUAUGAUGACAACUUUGUUUUCCCCAGUUUUUAAAUUACAUCAUCCCUUUGGUUCAUCAGUGGACAAAUUACCGUCUGCAAAAAGUCUGUACAUUGUAUAAAAGAACAUUUACAGCUGUAGGCAUCGUGUUAACAAAACUAAGCAACUUCAGAAAAAGCUCACUAGCUAUUCAUCAUGAAACACCAGGUAGAUGAGGGAUGGUGUUUAUUCAGUUUCAAAGUCCUCAUGUUCUGUACCCGAAAUGAACAGCUGGGCAAGUUCUCAAUCAAACACGCCAGGUUCCAACUCGUCAUUGUCGGAGUCAGUCGCGUGGCCGUGCGACUCCUCAGAAAUGAUGCCGGCUUUUACGAAAGCUCGAAAAACAGUGCAAGCAGACACGUUAUCACAAGCAUCCACAAUCCAUUCACAAAUUGUGGCGUAACUCGCCCGGCGCUGCCUCCUAGUCUUAGUAAAGCUGUGUUCGCCGUCUGUCAUCCAUGGCUCCCACGCCGCUCACAACUUCACUUUGAACGCCCUGUUUACACGGAUGUCCAGCGGUUCGAGUUCCUUCGUCAAGCCUCCUGGAAUGAUGGCAAGCUCCGAGUUAUUGCACUCAGUCGAAUGGAGACUGUAGAGAUGUUUCUCCCUGCUGUUCUUUGCUCAUUAAUCCAUUGCUCAAGUUGGUCUUCCAACACGGGCCACCUCGCCUUGUUUCCGCGGAAACUCAGCUUCGUCUUCUUGACUUGGCGAAGCUCGUUUUCCUGCUUCCUCCCCUUGCGAACCAUGGAUUCCUUGAUCUUGAAUUCUCUCGCGGCUGCUCGAUUCCAAUGUUCCUCCGCGUAACUAAUAGCUUGCAGUUUAAACUGUGCUUCGUAAGCGUGUCUCUUCGUAGGGGCCAUUUUCGGGGGUCCUUAGCCAAACCGAUGCACAUACCGGCGCUAUAUACCUACUGGGGGCGUGUCUUUAGCCUCCUCUGUCACGCGCACCCUUCCCCCUUUCCGUCCGCAUACUGUCCUCAGUCACGUCCGCCUUCCUCUAUAUCAGCAGCGUGUCGGCAGGAAAUGCUCCCAGUCAGUCAAGCGGAGCGCUCAUUAAAGUCACACAAUAACAUUUACAGAUUUUGGAACUCGGUGCACACAUAAGGGGCGCCGCAUUAUAACGCGCCCCAUCCAUUUUGGAGAAAAUGUAAGACUUUUAAGUGCGCCUUAUGGUCGUGAUAUUACGGUACACAUGGUGAUCACCUAAAAUCAAUACAUGUAACUAAGUAUACACAUACAUAAACAUUUCAGACAGCCCGCAGUUGGAAAAGGUUUUAGGUAUAGACCCAGGCACUUAAUGGACUGUUACACGUCUGUUCUUAUUAUUCACGUCAUUUCAGUCAGUCCCUUUAGUGUUUGACACGAUGACAACAUUCUGUGGCAGGUGAAAAACAAAAACAAAAACGCGUGACAAAGCAAGUGCCCAUAAACACCAUGAAUUUUUUUCCCCCAUUCUUCCACCCACUAGGGGCACUACGAAGAGGAAUGUCUAGAUUUCAGAAUACGAGGAAGAAAACAGACUAAGAAGAAUUUAGCGUAAUAGAAGAAGAAGUUAGCGUUGGGGGACACUAACGGCUAUUUAUACAGUCAAUGACUGUAUCAGCUGUUUCUGCUGUGUGCGCCUUGGCCUCUUAGGGGCAGUGUGGUGCGAUGCAUGCAUGGAGCUACAGGCUUCUUUAUACUGGCGCGGGCGGAGACCACGCUGACGUCACUGCGGCUAUUCCGCAUGCAGUUUGCCUUUAUACUCGAGCGCAACCCAUGUGCGCAGUUUUGAAAAUGCAGUUCUCCUCCAAGUCGGGGGUGUCGCUACGGCUGGUAUUGGCUAGGACACCACAGGGUGGAGUUUCCUCUGCAUUUUUUGGCCAUUUCCGGUAGUCAUUUUUACUUUCCUUUCCAGAACAAGGAACAAAGCAACAACAAUGGCGACCGUGGAACAGUGUCUGCUCGAACAAAUGGACCUAGAUGACCAGAUCAUACAUUUAAUUAUGCUGCAAAAUGGAUCAAGAAGGCAGCGGCGUAGAUGGUAUGAAGAACCAAGGGGAACGCUGAGUACGUCAUCACAGCAUGUGACUAAAACGGACCAAUCACGAGAGAUGAUCUCCGCCGCAUUCUACACGCAGCAACAGUUUUUGCAAUGUGUCGCAUAAGGGUCGCGCGACCCAAUGUCUCGGUCACGUGAUGCAAUGUGGGCGCUGUCGGCCGCGCGAACGCGGGAGUAUAAAGAGGCCUUACUCAUUUACUGUAAGCUAAAAAAAGAGUAGAAGAAGAAAGUCUCGCUAUAACGUUAAUAAACUCAUUUUUCCCAGAUUAGGAAGAAUAUAUGCCUGUGAUAUUGUUAUUUUAUCUGCCUGUACGUGUUACUAUGGCGUUUGUGUGUGAAUAUUCGUUAUUUGAAGGUAAAUCCCUCCCGUGACCAAAUGCUAAUAUUGGCUAGCCCAUCAAUAGGGUUUUCGAUUGCCUGUUAGCAUUAAAAGACGUGUGUCUUGUAUUUAAAUAUAAAUGAGUGUAAUUAUUUUACUCCAACUGGUGUGUCAGUAAAAAGUUUAAAGCAUGCUCAGAGAGGGCAGAUUAACAUUCUACAGGCUGCAAAGGACGAGCUGCGGUAUGAGGCUAGCAGCAUUACCUUUGGCUGUCGUCUUGAGGCUAACUUGAAGACCGUUUAUCCGGUCAGGCGGCGCUGGUCACGGUUUCUCCUUGCGUCAUCACAAUAUCCUGUCUUGGACGACCGACACUGUAAAUGCAGUUUUGGGCCAUUUUGACUAACGGCAUUAUAGCUCAUGCAACACAUUCUGUUUUAAUGUGUUCUCAUCUUUCACUCGGUCUAAUGUAUACUCACGCACCCUAUGACAUAACACCAUUAGUGUUAUAUUGUCUCCUCCAGGGACAUGUUUGCACUCUGGGUAACAUUUCUGCAAAACAUUACACAGUGUUUCAUGGGGUAUGACAUGAAGAGAGAAUUUCAGCCAUAUGUUAGUCUGAGGUGGCCUCUAAAGUUGCAUAUCUCAUUAAAAACAUGCCAGAUGGGUGAUGUCAGUUCAAGAAAAAAAAAUGCUUGUGGCUAUACUUUGUUUUUCCCUUUGCAAAGAAGGAGCAAAGUAUGUCACUCUCAAUGAGACAGUAUAUUUUUGCAUGAUUAUCCGAAAGACAAAUGAUGAUGCUACUUGUGAACACCAAGGGCCUGAUUGCCUAAGGUCCCAACUAGUGGGCGCAAAAAUGUGUGUUCACUCAUCCUAAAACAUUGGUCACAGUAUUGGCAACAGGUGUAAAAUUGAUUGAAACCGGCAUAUUUAUACAAGGGUUUUGCACUUUAGGUAGUGCUGAUCCUUUUCACCUUGGAACAUUUGGGAGAGCACCACGAGCGCAAAAUAAAGUUUGAAAUGAUGGAAUUGAAAGUGGAAGAAGUAGAAGAUAAAAACAAACGUGAAUGAGUUACAGAAAAUGCAUCGAUGUUGCCGAUAAUUUAAGCAAGGAACCACAUAAAAGCUAUGUUUUUUUUUUUUUAAUUUAGCUCGUCCUGAGUGCAUGGCAAUUGGAGGCAUCUGCCUAUCCAGCCUAACACUGGGGAAAACUUCAAAAACCUGAAAGGAGUGUCAGGUGAUAUAGCAUGGCUCUUUCUUGUGAGUUGCUCCAAGUAUGCACAUAGAUCAGGGGUGUCAAACUAAUUUUGGUUGCAGACAUUAUGGUUUAGUUAUGGUAAUUGUCAGGGGUGUGACGAUUAAUGUUAGCAACAUUUCGAUUUGUAUCACAAUUCGGGGUUGCCAAAUCAAUUCAAGGAGAAUACUGGUUCAUUUAAAAUGAUACAGUGGCUGGAAAUCGAUUCAAUAACCUUUUAGCCAAAAAUACAUCCAGUGUGACUGUGAAAUAAAUACCUGCAUAAUAUAAUAGAUUUCUUAGAUUCUUAUUGUUUCUUGCAAGGGAAUCGGAUAAAAACUAAUUAUGCUCAUUAAAUAUGAAGAUUUUCCUGAUCUGCUUUCCUUUUAUGUCUUAUUUGUCAUAUACUGCCCUGCAGUUCCAUUAUUGGAGCUUGGAGGGCUCUUUGCGUCCUCUCUCUCUCUCUCUCCCCUCUCUGUUUUCAGCACCUGUCUCCAAUCAGCCUCAUCACCAUCGAUAUUUAAGCCUGCCUGUUCCAGGAAAUCCUCGCCAAAGUAUUGCAGCCUCUCCUAGCGUGUUCCCCCAUGUUCCUGUCCCACGUCAUUCGACCAAGCCAGCCGCCUGUUCUGUCCACUGCCUGCCACCUGUCCACGCCACCUGCCUGCCAACACAUCCAGGACCACCUCCAUAACCCUUGCUCAAUAAACUGUUCAUCAUUUUA